rnacentral:rRNA from 1 species
UACGAAGGGGGCUAGCGUUGUUCGGAAUCACUGGGCGUAAAGCGCACGUAGGCGGAUCUUUAAGUCAGGGGUGAAAUCCCGAGGCUCAACCUCGGAACUGCCUUUGAUACUGGGGAUCUCGAGUCCGGGUGAGGUGAGUGGAACUGCGAGUGUAGAGGUGAAAUUCGUAGAUAUUCGUAAGAACACCAGUGGCGAAGGCGGCUCACUGGCCCGGAACUGACGCUGAGGUGCGAAAGCGUGGGGAGCAAACAGG